GGGGGAGGUACCAGCUAGGCAUAGGUUCCCUAGAGAAGGAGGAGGCAGCUCAACACGUGAAGUUUGAACAAGGGAAGGGUCUCCUGACCACCACCCACAUGGUCAGUUAGAAGGCGGAAGAGAAGGUCCUAUGGCAAAAGACUCCCUUGUCCUCAGACAGGUUCAACUAAAGAGCCAAGCGAGACUCAGCCUGAAUGUGGAUAAGAUUAUGCAAGGAGUGGGGCACUGGCCGAGUCCAAAGGAAGGGAGCUGAGCGCCAGCAUUCAGUCCUCCACUUUCUGCCUCAGAUGCAAUGUGACCAGCUGCCUCACGCUCCUCCUGGCCCGGCUAGAGCUGCUCUUCCCACUACACUGCGUCGUGAUGACUGAGUCCCAUCACCCUUCCUCCUUGAAGCCGCCUUUGUCAGGAAAUGGGAGCAGAAAGCAUUUCUAAGACAGCAGAGGCUCGGCUACUGGUGCGCAGAAGGAGCUCCUGACAUGACGCCCGAGCGCGGCACCAGCGCACCAGUUUGGUUUGACUCGGCUGUCCUCCCAGCUUUCCCUGCAGCAUCCGCUGUUCCUCCCCCGAGCUCCCGCCUGCCUCUCCUCCCCUGCCAAUGUUAUCAUUCUUCUUCAGACCACAUAAACUACAUUCCUCU